rnacentral:rRNA from 1 species
UACGUAGGGGCCGAGCGUUGUCCGGAGUUACUGGGCGUAAAGCGUGCGCAGGCGGCGCGUUCUGCCCGGCGUGAAAGCCCCCGGCUCAACCGGGGAAGGUCGUCGGGGACGGGCGCGCUUGAGGGCGGCAGGGGCUGGUGGAACUCCCGGUGUAGUGGUGAAAUACGUAGAGAUCGGGAAGAACACCUGUGGCGAAGGCGGCCAGCUGGGCCGACCCUGACGCUGAGGCACGAAGGCGUGGGGAGCGAACGGG